ACUUUGUUACUACUGUUUCCAAGGAGACAGACGAUUCCACACGUGACACGGAAGUGACCAAAUUGGACAGAGCGCGCCUGCGCUAACGAUUGAGCCGCGGGUUUCUAAUCGAGGAGAAAGCUGGAGAAAUACAGCAAAGAAACACACAAGGGAAGCCAAUUGUACAGAAGUUUCUAUCAAACUUGGGGAUUGUCUGCCGGCUGCAUAUGGCGUCCAUAUCUGCAGAUGCGGUGGAGGGAUAUACAGCGAUAACUUCUUUGAUAGGCUCAGGCAAGACUGGAGAAAGUAGCAGCAGUGAAAUGUGGCAGUGAGCUUUUAAACCAAUAAUCCUUUGGAAUGCAGUGAAUACAUUUGUAUCAGGAAUAACCAUUCUGACUUCAGUGUAAAUGCAUAUUUUGUUAAUAAAUUAAGCAAUUUCAAUGUU